CUCUGAUCUUAUCUGUGUGGAGUUGAGCAAUGGAUAUGUCAUCUUCAUCUCUUGAACUUUGAGUUCGGUUAGUUUAUUUCAAUAUCUGACACCGUCACCGGAAACCACCGCGGCGACAUUCAUCUCCAUUAUAGUCAUGUUGACUCUUUGUAUACAAAACUUCAUGCAUGGUCUGUUCGUUGUAGCCACUGUUAUUUUGGGUAAUUUUAGUUUGAACAUUGAAUUAAACCCUUUUUAAUUGGUUCUUUCUUUCAAAGAUAUGUAUUUGAUUUUGUUUGGUUCAAAACUGUAGUUCUGUAAUUAGUGUUAAAUUUUCCACUUAAGAAAUUUAAUUUUGAAUUAAUAUUAUUUUCCCUAUCACACGCUCACUUUUACAACUUUAAGAUGAAUAAAUAAAUAAUUUAUAUUACAGUUUGGAUUUCAAUUUUACUAACUCUUAAUUAUGCAUUAUGUUAUGCUUUAAUGUGGAUUGAUCUGCAUAUGUCUUCUUCUGUUCUCUGAUUUGGAUUCUGGUUUUUUUUCCUCCUUGGAUAUAGUUAUAGAAUGUUAUUGAUUUUUUGGUAUUUAAAUUUGUUAUAUUUGCUGGAAAAUUCAUCAGUUGACUCCUUUAUUUUAAUUACUUCCUCACCAAAUAAUUAAUAAAUCAAAGUAAAAAGAAAUUAAAAAAAUAAAAAUAAAUCAUGAGACUUAAUGAUAUCUAUGUGUACAUGACUUGGUUGUUUCUACUUUUUCACCAAGUAUACACCCUCUAGUUGUAAAUUGACUAUUUAUACAAUAUUAUCAUUUGCGGUCAUUGUUUAGAGAUAGAUUCCUCCGAAAUGAAACUAUUGAAGAUGAGAGGUCUCCUUCUACAGAGUGGAUUGAAUUAGUUCAAUUAAGACAACGACACUGUCUCCGGUAUAAGAUUCCAUUUGAAGUACUGCUUCUUCCUUUCUUGCCUCGUAGAUGCUAUCACAUUAGCAUUCAAGAUGUUGUCUCCAAAGCUGAUCCGUUGAAGUCGUUCCCUGUGAUAUAUGCAACAGAAGAUCGUUAUCUCACACAACACGAGCUAUUAAUGUGUCUGUGUGACAACACAGGAAGGAAUACAUGAGGCUCAAGAAAUGAAUGCAAAACAAACAAAAAGGAAAUGAAGAUUUGGUGAUGGAGCUUGUUGUCUAGAUGUGAAGAAAAUGAAAGCAAAUAAGGGCUAUAUAUAUUGUUGAGAAUUUGUACCUUCUACAUGCUCUUCAAGUUUUGUAUUAAUAUAAUAUUAAUAUAAUUUAUUUCUUUUAAGUAAUACAUUAAAUCUGGACCAUAAAUUCAAAAACAGAUUGGGAGGGGAAAAAAUAAAAAAACCAGUUAAAGCCUACCCAAAGAAGAGGUAAAAACCAGUUAAAGCUUACCAAAAAAAAAAAAAUUCCCCUAACUGAGAUGACUUGGCAUAGCUAGUUGCAAUCUACAGUAGCCAAUUUUCUAUUCCUUUUUGUCCAGUAUAUGGCUUUUAUAAAUUGAACUUAAUAGAAAGUAUAUGUAAUUAGCUUUUAAGGAGUUAUAAAGAAAAACUAAACAUAAAUUAUUAUGAGUUAGUAAUUUAAGAAUGUAUUACUAAAGACAACAUUCAUGAAAGAAAUGAGAUCCUUGCCUUUGGAACAUAGAAGCAAGAUCCUCUAAAGAAGUGAGUUCAUAACCUGCAUAGAGAAAUAGAGAAAGACCAAACAUAAUGACAAUAUAAGUCUCAAACAAAGGAACUAAUAAAUUGCAUAGAGAAAUAGUUCAUAACCUUGAUCUUUUUUCAUAUAUUCAUGUUUCACUUUGACUGGAUGAAAUCUAAUCAAAUACAUUUUCCAUUUUCAGGCUCCUAAUCAAUGCAAGACAAAGACAACAACAAAAAGGAAAUGAAAAUUGUUAGUCCAAUUUUGAAGAGAAGAAAAUGGAGAAAAAAAGAAAGAAAAGGACAUUUUUAUUGUUGAAAAGGACAUUUUCAGGCUCCUAAUCAAUGCAUCUGUGUCUUCCUGUUAUGCUGUGUAAAAUUCUUGGACAAUCCCAUUGGUAUUUAUAGAUAAAGGAUUUUAAAAGAGAAAUUUAAAAUAUUAAUUUGUGAGACUUGGGCACCUAGUUUAUCUUUAAUGGGUCCGUUUAGAAUGGACAAAAACAUGAAGGAGUUUUCACCAUAAGAGUAGUAGAGAGAGAUCUUGAACUUUUGAAGAAGCUAUGAGAUGUUU